GGCAGAGAAAAGCAAACCCUACCGAAAGGAGGGGACGCAAAGCCACUGGCCUAAAUCACAAUCUUCGGAUUGAGACACGGCAGCAGGGUUGCCUCA
rnacentral:ncRNA from 1 species